UACGUAGGGUGCAAGCGUUAAUCGGAAUUACUGGGCGUAAAGCGUGCGCAGGCGGUUUUGUAAGUCUGAUGUGAAAUCCCCGGGCUCAACCUGGGAAUUGCAUUGGAGACUGCAAGGCUAGAAUCUGGCAGAGGGGGGUAGAAUUCCACGUGUAGCAGUGAAAUGCGUAGAGAUGUGGAGGAACACCGAUGGCGAAGGCAGCCCCCUGGGUCAAGAUUGACGCUCGUGCACGAAAGCGUGGGGAGCACACAGG
rnacentral:rRNA from 1 species